rnacentral:lncRNA from 1 species
UAAAAUUGGAAUAACAGACCUUACCUCGUGUUUCCAACUUGAAACACAUACGAUAUUUGCUCCAUGUACUCACCGGGGCUAAGAUCAAGAAUACCCAAAAAGAAACAAGUAUUCACAGUGAACAAAUAAUCAUGUGAUGAAAAUAUAUAUAGGAUAACACACAUAGAUCUUUUCAAAAUCACGUUCACACAGAACCACAGAUUAACACCUAGUUAAUCAAACCACGGUCAACCACAUAUGCAACACAUUCAUAAAUGACCCUAAGAAAAGAUCUCACCACACUUAUCCUAUCCCAUUCCGUGUUACUCCCACCUCAAGAACACAUAUCUCCUCUCAUCGCCCACCAUGCUCACUAAACCAAUCACUUAACUCAUGUCUAACUGGCAAGUCACAAUAGAUCCUAAGCUCUCGGGAUAAUCCUCUAUCACCACAUCACUUCUCCCAACCUACGUGGAUAAUGGGACUCCACCUUACAGAAAUGAUAGAAGUGCCUCUCUCACACUCCAGCUGUACAGGGUCUCUUUCACAGAUAAAGGAUUCUACACAUUUGAUCACAUCUCCACUCAUGAUCCAAAUGUCACACUCUACAUCCCUCGUGCAUAUCACCAAUGCACCUCUAGGCAUCUAUACUCCACCUUACCAAAAGACAUCCGACUCACUGCUAAUGCAUCUCAAACUCACUAUGGCAAAUCAACACCUUUCGGUGACCACAAAGGUUAAUCCACUCACUAAUGCUCCCAAAAAUUUACAAAGAAAAUAGUGAAGGUGGCACUCUCAAAGAGAAUCGAAGAAAGAGUCGGUUACUUCACAAUACUCACAAAGGAGGCUCACAAAGAUAAAGAAGGUAACUCUAACAUGGCUGCGUCACAUAAUCUCACAAACCACACAGGCUCACAAAGAUGAAGGAGAGAAACGGCUGCCCAACUUUCUUCUCACUACCACACUCUCACACCACUCACAAAGCAAAUAGAGUACGUCACAAAAUUUAACCCACUAUGCAUGUAAACAUAUUACACAAAGUAAUAAAUCACUCUAAUUCAUGCAAUUACACACAUCAAACAUAUUGCAAGUGUAACAUCAACAUUGCAACAUAAUUAAGUGAUCAUAUACAUGCAGAAAUGAUUAC